AUGAUCGAAACUGAACAUACUGUGCGAUUUUUGUUUCUCUUUAGAGAAAUCAAGCCAAAUAAUCUGAUCCAUUGUUACAAUUUGAGUUAUAUUUUUAAGUUAUUAUGGAAUUACAUUAUUGAAAAACUUGAUCAAUUAAUGUCUAGGUUUUGUUAUAAUUUUCUUAUUGGGUGUGAUGAUGAUUUCCCCAGAUGA